UGGGGAAUCUUAGACAAUGGGGGCAACCCUGAUCUAGCCAUGCCGCGUGAGUGAUGAAGGCCUUAGGGUUGUAAAGCUCUUUCAGCUGGGAAGAUAAUGACGGUACCAGCAGAAGAAGCCCCGGCUAACUCCGUGCCAGCAGCCGCGGUAAUACGGAGGGGGCUAGCGUUGUUCGGAAUUACUGGGCGUAAAGCGCACGUAGGCGGACUGGAAAGUUGGGGGUGAAAUCCCGGGGCUCAACCUCGGAACUGCCUUCAAAACUAUCAGUCUGGAGUUCGAGAGAGGUGAGUGGAAUUCCGAGUGUAGAGGUGAAAUUCGUAGAUAUUCGGAGGAACACCAGUGGCGAAGGCGGCUCACUGGCUCGAUACUGACACUGAGGUGCGAAAGCGUGGGGAGCAAACA
rnacentral:rRNA from 1 species